rnacentral:piRNA from 1 species
UGGGAGAAUACAUACGUUGCUGGCGGG